rnacentral:antisense_RNA from 1 species
AGUAGCUAAAAAUUAUUUCUGGAUUCAGAGUAGGGUGAGAAAUAAGGCGCACAUCUUGUAAAUGGGUAUCAUAAAUUCCACCCAAAAACAUGGCUUUUAGCACUAACAAAAAUGCACCUAAACCUAAAAUAAUCAAGUGGUGUCCCAAAAUUAAACCUAAUUGUUUGGGAUCAUUCCA